AUUGAACGCUGGCGGCAGGCCUAACACAUGCAAGUCGAACGAGUGGCGGACGGGUGAGUAAUGUCUGGGAAACUGCCCGAUGGAGGGGGAUAACUACUGGAAACGGUAGCUAAUACCGCAUACCAUCGGAGGUGCCCAGAUGGGAUUAGCUAGUAGGUGGGGUAACGGCUCACCUGGGCGCCGAUCCCUAGCUGGUCUGCGAGGAUGACCAGCGACACGUGAACGGAGACACGGGCCAGACUCCUACGGUGGGCAGCAGGGGGGAAUAUUGCACAAUGGGCGCAACCCUGAUGCAGACAUGCCGCGUGUAUGAAGAAGGCCUUCGGGUUGUAAAGUACUUUCAGCGAGGAGGCGUUACGCGCAGAAGAAGCACCGGCUAACUCCGUGCCAGCAGCCGCGGUAAUAC
rnacentral:rRNA from 1 species